AUCCUCUGUAAUAUUGUGUUUCGUUUUCCAUGAAAGAUUCCUUUAACUUUAUAAUCCCAUCUAGCUGGAGUUAUCUUUUGCUUGAGUUAAAAUAGGAAGAACUAUUUGAAGCAUAAACUAUGCACAGUUGCACCAGAUAUCAAUGUCAGAUUAUUUCCUUUUCCAAAAUCUCUCACAGAAAUCACUCUUUCAUUCACUUUUCUCCUUGGUUUUAUGAGAGAGUAAAGUUGAAAUGAGCAGCCUAAGCUCCCGCUAUGUGCGACCAUUUUCUAAAUUCAUAAGGACAUACAGAUCCCGCUAUGUGCGACCAUGUUCUAACUUCAUAAAGACAUACAAAGAAAAUAGAAAUACAAAGAACCAAACUCAACAGAAUUGUUGUCAUCCGUGGUGAAUAAGCAGUUUGAAAGUUAUCUUCUCUUCUUCAAUAAACAAAUUUCUAUUAUUUUUCUCUUCUGCGAUCCUCUUAAUAAUAGGAUAACAAAUAUAUCCCCAUUAUAUCAUCAUUACCAAAAAAUUAGUACAAAUAAAUUAUAAGAAGAAACAAAACUCACCUGAAGUGAGAACUACAAUUGAAGGUUAUAACAGACAAAUUGUAUAAAGAGGAGAGAUUUGAAAUUACACCUGAAACUGCACCAAAUAAACAUCGAAAUCCCUAAUUUACGAUGCUCGUCUUUCUCCAAGUCCCAUUUUUUUCGCAAACAAAUAUCAAAAUUCGUAAACUACCAAAGAAGGCAAAAAAGAACUCAAAUUUGCAAGUAAUCAGGAUUUGCUAAGAGAGUACUGAAGAAACCAAAUAUAUAUGAAAAAAAUAAAAUUAAAAUAUAUUAUACUGGCGAUUAUGUCGGAAUCUGAUAUCUUCUUGCCAAGAGGUUUCAGAUUCAUCUGUGAACUUCAAUUGUGUGGUAGAUCUAUGAAAUAAAAGUUCUUAAAAUUCCAAUCUAAAAAAUUAGGUUAAAAUCCCAAAAGUUUUGAUGAAUUCAAAGUGAAAGAAGGUACCUACAUGUAACACUUCAUGGAUAAUAACAAAUGGAGCAGCCAAGGAGGAAGAGAAGAAUAGAGAGUCGCGAAGAAUCAAGAGGAGCAAAAACGAAGCAGAAAAGCUAAUAUGUCUGUGUCAGUGUGAAAACAC
rnacentral:lncRNA from 1 species